rnacentral:pre_miRNA from 7 species
CGUUAUGACUCCUGGGUGGUCGUCAAAUCCCAGAUGAGCCUCGAUAUGUAGGACCCCCGAAGGGAGACCAUCACUGAAGUCUCAGGGAUCGCGAGCUCAGAAAGCCACAACAGUCA